UGGUUUACCAGACCCGGAAGGCGCGGGCCUUAGUGGCGGACGGGUGAGUAACGCGUGGGGAACCUGCCCCGUACCGGGGGAUAACACCUGGAAACAGGUGCUAAUACCGCAUAACAGAAGGGGACGCACGUUCCUUUCUUGAAAACUCCGGUGGUACGGGAUGGACCCGCGUCUGAUUAGCUGGUUGGCGGGGUAACGGCCCACCAAGGCGACGAUCAGUAGCCGGCCUGAGAGGGCGGACGGCCACAUUGGGACUGAGACACGGCCCAAACUCCUACGGAAGGCAGCAG
rnacentral:rRNA from 1 species